rnacentral:rRNA from 1 species
GGUUGAUAUUCCUGUACUACCGAUAACCGUUUGAGAGAAGGGAUGACACAGUAGGAUAAGCUAAGCACACUGUUGGUUAUGUGUGCCCAAGCAUUGAGGCAGUCAAAGUAGGCAAAUCCGCUUUGAUAAUGCUGGGAUGUGAUGGGGAGCGAAAUUUAGUAGCGAAGUAGCUGAUUUCACACUGUCAAGAAAAGUCUCUAUCGAGGUUAAAGGUACCCGUACCGCAAACCGACACAGGUGGGUGAGGAGAGUAUCCUAAGGCCAGCGAGAGAACUGUUGUUAAGGAACUCGGCAAAAUGACCCCGUAACUUAGGGAUAAGGGGUGCCACCAUCAGGUGGCCGCAGAGAAUAGGCCCAAGCGACUGUUUACCAAAAACAUAGGUUUCUGCUAAGUCGCAAGACGAUGUAUAGGAGCUGACGCCUGCCCGGUGCUGGAAGGUUAAGGGGAUCUGUUAGAGCAAUCGAAGCAGUGAACUUAAGCCCCAGUAAACGGCGGCCGUAACUAUAACGGUCCUAGGUAGCGAAAUUCCUUGUCGGGUAAGUUCCGACCCGCACGAAAGGCGUAACGAUUUGGGCACUGUCUCAACAACAGACUCGGUGAAAUUGUAAUUCCGGUGAAGAUGCCGGAUACCUGCGACAGGACGGAAAGACCCCAUGGAGCUUUACUGUAGCUUGACAUUGGGUCUUGGUACUACAUGUACAGGAUAGGUGGGAGGCUUUGAAACCAGGACGCCAGUUUUGGCGGAGCCAUCCUUGGGAUACCACCCUUGUAGUACUGGGACUCUAACCAUAGGCCAUGAAUCUGGUCUUGGGACACUGUCAGGUGGGCAGUUUGACUGGGGCGGUCGCCUCCCAAAAGGUAACGGAGGCGCUCAAAGGUUCUCUCAGUACGGUCGGAAAUCGUACGUAGAGUGUAAAGGCAAAAGAGAGCUUGAUUGCAAGACAUACAGGUCGAGCAAGGAUGAAAAUCGGACUUAGUGAUCCGGUGGUUCUGCGUGGAAGGGCCAUCGCUCAACGGAUAAAAGCUACCCUGGGGAUAACAGGCUUAUCUCCCCCAAGAGUCCACAUCGACGGGGAGGUUUGGCACCUCGAUGUCGGCUCAUCACAUCCUGGGGCUGUAGUAGGUCCCAAGGGUUGGGCUGUUCGCCCAUUAAAGUGGUACGCGAGCUGGGUUCAGAACGUCGUGAGACAGUUCGGUCCCUAUCCGUCGCAGGCGUAGGAAAUUUGAGAAGACCUGUCCUUAGUACGAGAGGACCGGGAUGGACGUACCUCUGGUGUACCAGUUGUCCUGCCAAGGGCAUGGCUGGGUAGCUAUGUACGGAAUGGAUAAGCGCUGAAAGCAUCUAAGCGCGAAGCCAACUUCAAGAUAAGAUUUCCCACCGCAAGGGUAAGACCCCAGAAAGACUAUCUGGUUGAUAGGUCGAAGGUGUAAGUGCAGCAAUGUAUUUAGCUUAUCGAUACUAAUAGGUCGAGGACUUGACCAA